rnacentral:rRNA from 1 species
CAGCAGCCGCGGGAAUACGGAGGUUGCAAGCGUUAAUCGGAAUUACUAGGCGUAAAGCGCACGCAGGCGGUUUGUUAAGUCAGAUGUGAAAUCCCCGAGCUUAACUUGGGAACUGCAUUUGAAACUGGCAAGCUAGAGUCUUGUAGAGGGGGGUAGAAUUCCAGGUGUAGCGGUGAAAUGCGUAGAGAUCUGGAGGAAUACCGGUGGCGAAGGCGGCCCCCUGGACAAAGACUGACGCUCAGGUGCGAAAGCGUGGGGAGCAAACAGGAUUAGAUACCCCGGUAGUCCCUGUCUCUUAUCA